ACUAUCUAAUAUGGGUAUGCAAUAUUUACUACCAAAAUUAUGUGCAUCCUCAGGGUGUGUAUAUAUCAAAUGAAAUCUUGCGUCAUACGUACCCAUUCCUAAUUUGAUCUGUUAUACAAGGGCAAAAUACAUGCUAUAUAAGAAAGUAAUAAAUGUCGACCUACAUAUUAAUACCCUGCCUUUUUAUCACGUGACAUGCACGCAUGGGACAGUCCACGAAUUAAAGCGUGCCAAAUUAACUAGCAAUUGAUGCAUUUUUAUUGGUUUCCAAAUCAAUCGCUGAACACGAUCCAACGAUGAAGAGGCAAGGUGCCCAGCACCUAGGUGUCCCAAACUGGCGUGAGCCCACCCACCAACCUUCCUCGUCUCUCCUCCUCCCCACCAUCGCGCCACCUCCCUCUCUUCCCCCACUGCCGCAACCGGCGCCGAUUCCUGCGCCCCAGCCCAGCCCGCGGCCUUCCUCUCCUCACCGGCGAGCCAGCCCUCCCCCGGCAACCUCCUAGCACGAGCCUCAGUCGAAUCCAGGCUGAGGCGGGCCCCCACAACGUCCUGGCGCCGGAUCCAAGCUGCGACGCCACCCGACGACACCCCACUCCCGAAGCCAGGCCGCGGCGGCCCUUCGUAACGCCCCGCUGCCGGAGCCAGGCUGCGGUGGCCCCCCGCGAUGCCCCACUGCCACAUCCAGCCGGCGUAGUCCGGGUCGACCACCACGCGGGCGACCUCCUCCACACCAAGCUCGGAUCUGGCAGCACCGGCCUCAGAUCUGGUCACCCUGGUCGCAUCGCCCCUCCUCAUCUCACUGAGCUCCGCCUCGGCUCCGGCGAGAGGCCAUCGUCUCCAUCACAUCCACCCUCCCCCCCGCGCGCAAGCGCCGCCAGAGGCUGACAGCGAGCCACCACCAGUGUCCACUUCAGUUCGGCACCAACAAAGUCCUACUUCGGUGUGGACAUGCAGUACGCCGGAGAGCUGCUAGCGGUUGGAGCAACACGGCACACACACACACCCCGUGCCCUGGCUACCUCUUUGUUGCAGGAUGCAUCGCAAAACAGCUGGGCAGCUCGCAUGGUGGAGUUCUGAGCUGCAGUGCACUCCGGUGGAGGCCGUGGUGCACUCUCAUCGCGUCCCACCACUGUAGCGUCAAGGCCAGGGCGGUCAUCACGACAACGAGCCCCCCCGGGUCAACUCCAUCAUGCCUCCUCUUGCGCGUGCAGUGCACACCUUGCCGCAUAGCAGUUUGCCACCCCAUUUCUCGAUCACGGUGCUGUCCACGCCGUCGUCGUAGACGACACCAGCGCCUUGUAGUUCAAUGGCUCCGGGCGAGCAGUGCAGGUUGCUCUUCACUUCAGCUCGGUUGGGUCAUCCGUGCAAUACACAGCGACUUGAGAGGACGAUGGGCAUACAGUUCCCUGGCAUGUGGGAGUUCGGUUUCCGUUUGUGCGACGCUGCAGUGUGGAUGCUUGUGCCAUGCAUUUUACUUGCUUCACUGCCAUCGUGCACUUGUGUGCAGUUCGUUUGGUUUUCAUGAUCUCGCUUGCAGUAUGUUACUUGGAAAAAAUGCCCAAACCUCAAUUUGUUUGUUUA